CCCUGUACACACCGCCCGUCACACCAUGGGAGCGGGUUCUGCCAGAAGUAGUUAGCCUAACCGCAAGGAGGGCGAUUACCACGGCAGGGUUCGUGACUGGGGUG
rnacentral:rRNA from 1 species